rnacentral:lncRNA from 1 species
UCCUCCUCCAUUGUUACCUGCAACUCUAAUCCCAAUUUCACCUUCUCACCUUCUCUUCUUCUCCUUUUCCCACCUCUUUCUCCCCUUCGAUCUUUCUCUAAAUUACAAAAACAUAAUUUACAUCCCCAAAUUCUUCAAUUGAAAAGUUUAAUCCAUUCUAAAAUCAUGUAAACUAAUUAUUUCUUUUUCUCUCUUUACCUUUGUAUCUCUGUUCCAAGCUCUUUGUUUUUGUGAAUUAUUUGGUGAUGAUUGAUUGAUUGUGUGUUGUGUAUAAAAGCGAUGGAAGUGACGAGUCAAAUACAAAGUUAGAUAUAGAAUUUGUUUGUGAAGAAAUGGAGAUGACGAUGAAGAAAGAGAAGGAUUUGGAGGAGAGACGGUGAUCGGAAAUAACGUCGGAAAACCCACCAUAGACAAUGUCGAAGAAAAUUCAUGGAAGAUGAAGAAGAAGAGAAACAAUUAGAUGUGAUGAAAAAAAAAAAAAAAAUUAGAUGUAUAAAAAAGGGUAAAAAUGUCAAAACAACAUUCUCUCUCUUGUCCAUUCAAUUAAAAAAAUAGCAUAGAUAGAAACUUAAUUAUAAAGUCUUUUAUGGUCAGAUAGUGUAGAUACCCAUCUUUCAAUUAUGUACUUUUCACAAAACAAAAACUAAAAACUGUUGCUCCUUGAAAUGAAAUACAUGAUCAAUAG